rnacentral:lncRNA from 1 species
AGCCUACUGGCACCAGCAGGGGGCAAGAGGAAGAACUGAUGGAGAGACUCCUGAACGAGGAAGAGAAGGCUGGAAGUCUGGUUUGUGAGCUCAAGACCAUAGCGUAUCACUGAAGGGACCAAUGUGGCUGUACUGAAACCAUCUGCACCAUGGUCCAGGCGAGGGCUUUAGAGGAUGCCACAGUGGUCACCAUCUGUUUUGAUGCUGCAUUGUGGCCUCAUUUUUGAUAAACUAUCCCAAAAU